AGGAAUUUGCACAGGUGCUGCAUGGCUGUCGUCAGCUCGUGCCGUGAGGUGUUAGGUUAAGUCCUGCAACGAGCGCAACCCUCGUCGCUAGUUAAUUUCUCUAGCGAUACUGCCCGUAAAACGUGGAGGAAGGUGGGGAUGACGUCAAGUCAGCAUGGCCUUUAUGUCUUGGGCUACACACACGCUACAAUGGAUGGUACAAAGGGUUGCCAAAGAGCGAUCUGGAGCUAAUCCCAAAAAACCAUCCUCAGUUCAGAUUGCAGGCUGCAAUGCCUGCAUGAAGUUGGAGUUGCUAGUAACCGCAGGUCAGCACACUGCGGUGAAUACGUUCUCGGGCCUU
rnacentral:rRNA from 1 species